GUGCAAACUCGAUCACUAGCUCUGCAUGAUGUGGCAGGAGCUAAGGGAGUCAGGUUUGCUAAAGUAAUAGUGGUGAUAGAAUGUACUAGCCUCAGAACCUUCUGAGGUGCCCUUUCUGUCCUCACACAGUG
rnacentral:snoRNA from 1 species